rnacentral:rRNA from 1 species
AGAAUCAACGCUGGCGGCGUGCCUAACACAUGCAAGUCGAACGAGAAAGUGGAGCAAUCCAUGAGUAAAGUGGCGCACGGGUGAGUAACACGUGACUAACCUACCUUUUAGUGGGGGAUAACCUAGGGAAACCUGGGCUAAUACCGCAUAAUACCUACGGGUCAAAGCAGCAAUGCGCUGAAAGAGGGGGUCGCGGUCGAUUAGUUAGUUGGCAGGGUAAUGGCCUACCAAGACUGUGAUCGAUAUCCGGCCUGAGAGGGCGCACGGACACACUGGAACUGAAACACGGUCCAGACUCCUACGGGAGGCAGCAGUGGGGAAUUUUGCGCAAUGGGGGAAACCCUGACGCAGCAACGCCGCGUGGAGGAUGAAGUCCCUUGGGACGUAAACUCCUUUCGAUCGGGACGAUAAUGACGGUACCGGAAGAAGAACGCCCGGCUAACUUCGCGCCAGCAGCCGC